CUGCAGGAUGGAGGGAACAUCUGUACAGAUGCUGCUGGUUUUGCUCUCACUGCUGGGCUGCACAACAAACCAAGCUCUCACAGCUCGUCUGACUGUGAGUCCCAGCAGCUCUCAAAUGUCUGAAGGAGACUUUGUGUCUCUGAGCUGUGAAGAAGACGACAGCUCUGCUGGAUGGACUCUGAGGAGAAACACAAGCAAAGAAAUCAGGACCCAGUGUGGAGUUAAGUGGGGGAAAUCUACUGGGAAUUCCUGCAAAAUCAGCUAUAUCUUUCCAUGGCACAGUGGAGUUUACUGGUGUGAGUCCAGAGAGGGUCCCAUCAGUAACAUGGUUAAC